GUGUUUAAGCACACACGCAAGCCACAUCCUUUAAUGAUUUCAUUCUGUUUGAUCUACUGAUAUCAAAACAGCAAAUGGAGGUUGCAAGAUUUGGAAAGGACAGCACAUUUAAACAUUUUCAGACCUGACAAAGCACACUUUCUCUGCUUCCUUGGCCUUGGUUGUGAUACGCAUAUUGUCUUUGCUGAAAUGACAAAUGAAAUUCUGACACUUAGGCAUUAACUGGCCCUGGCUCAGCGAGACACUGCAGUGACUCUAAAGUAUCUAAGAUGUCCAUUAGACUUGACCAGAGGUGAUCUGAUCAUACUGCAGCCCCAAAAUUGUGAUCUUUGGUAAGUAAGUUUAUUCCUCUUUCAGUAAAAUGACAUUCUGUGCAAAGCAGACUGUUUUGUGAAGUAACUAUGCUGACAGUUU
rnacentral:lncRNA from 12 species